UGCAAGUCGAACGAGCUUCCGUUGAAUGACGUGCUUGCACUGAUUUCAACAAUGAAGCGAGUGGCGAACUGGUGAGUAACACGUGGGGAAUCUGCCCAGAAGCAGGGGAUAACACUUGGAAACAGGUGCUAAUACCGUAUAACAACAAAAUCCGCAUGGAUUUUGUUUGAAAGGUGGCUUCGGCUAUCACUUCUGGAUGAUCCCGCGGCGUAUUAGUUAGUUGGUGAGGUAAAGGCCCACCAAGACGAUGAUACGUAGCCGACCUGAGAGGGUAAUCGGCCACAUUGGGACUGAGACACGGCCCAAACUCCUACGGGAGGCAGCAGUAGGGAAUCUUCCACAAUGGACGAAAGUCUGAUGGAGCAAUGCCGCGUGAGUGAAGAAGGGUUUCGGCUCGUAAAACUCUGUUGUUAAAGAAGAACACCUUUGAGAGUAACUGUUCAAGGGUUGACGGUAUUUAACCAGAAAGCCACGGCUAACUACGUGCCAGCAGCCGCGGUAAUACGUAGGUGGCAAGCGUUGUCCGGAUUUAUUGGGCGUAAAGCGAGCGCAGGCGGUUUUUUAAGUCUGAUGUGAAAGCCUUCGGCUUAACCGGAGAAGUGCAUCGGAAACUGGGAGACUUGAGUGCAGAAGAGGACAGUGGAACUCCAUGUGUAGCGGUGGAAUGCGUAGAUAUAUGGAAGAACACCAGUGGCGAAGGCGGCUGUCUAGUCUGUAACUGACGCUGAGGCUCGAAAGCAUGGGUAGCGAACAGGAUUAGAUACCCUGGUAGUCCAUGCCGUAGACGAUGAGUGCUAAGUGUUGGAGGGUUUCCGCCCUUCAGUGCUGCAGCUAACGCAUUAAGCACUCCGCCUGGGGAGUACGACCGCAAAGAUAGAAACUCACAGCGAAUUGACUGGGGCCCGCACCAGCAGCAGGAGCAUGCCGCUUUGAUUAUUACGC
rnacentral:rRNA from 2 species